CAAUAACGAGAACCCUUCAAACUCGGUCUCUCUAUAUAUGUCAGCUUUGGUUCAUCACUACCAAGUCCUAGAGACCGACUUCAUCACUGCUAAUCAGCCUUUCCUGAUCACCCUCUUCUUUAUUUCGGCAACUCCAUUCGGAUCCAAAUCAUCGGUGUUGUCAGUUACGACUCCGAGGUCACGACCCCAAUCCCUCCGGCCAAGAUGUUCAAGGCCGCUGUCCUCGAUGCCGAUAACCUCAUCCCCAAGGUGCUCCCGCAAGCCAUCAAGAGCGUCGAAGUCCUCGAGGGCAACGGAGGUCCCGGGACCGUCAAGUUGAUCACUUUUGGCGAAGGCAGUCACUACAAGACAAUGAAGCAAAAGGUCGAGUCCCUGGACAAGGAGAACCUCACCUACUGCUACUCAAUCAUCGAGGGCGACGUGCUGGGCACCACCUUCGAGAAGAUCAGCAACGAGGUGAAGAUCACCGCAUCGCCCGAGGGAGGCUCGGUGUGCAAGAACACGAGCAAGUACUUCACCAUCGGCGAGGUGGAGAUCACUGAGGAGAAGAUCAAGGCCGGGAAAGAGAAGGGGUCCGAGAUGUUCAAGGCCAUCGAGGCUCAUCUCUUGGCAAACCCUGAUGCCUAUUGAGUAGAUCUCAUCGCUAUCUUGGAUUGUUCACUGUACUGUGUGAAAUAUGUCUGGUUGUGCUAAAUUCACAAGGAGAGAAGAAGAGUUUGGGUCACUCUGUGUUUGGAGUAAAGCUUGUGGGGCUGGUGAGCGUAGCUGUUCUUCUUUUUGCUGAGAAUAAGAGAAUGAAAGGUGUGGCAGGAACCUGGUGAAGUGGUUUUUGUGGAAUUUUGUAAAUUGUGCUACAUAAAUAGCGUAUCAAGGGAAUAAAAGUUGAAUAAGCUUGAUAUUUUGUUGGUA